UGCACUACAGAGGUGGCACUGAAUAACACAAGAGUGACAUUUUGGUAUAUUUACAGACUGUUGAAUUAAGGUCAGAUGUGGCAUGAAAGCAUGCAAAUUCAAAAUAACAAUGGAAUGAAAUGAAUGCAUUAACUAUAGAGUUAUGAAUAUAGAAAUAUUAAAUAUUGAUGCUUUAAAAAUUCAACUAAAACGGCCAGUAGGUGGCGGCAAGUCACUGUUUGUCACUGAAUCAUUAAUUCAAUCGAUUCGUUCAAACAGCUGAUUCAUUCAGGAAUGAAGCAAGUGACUGCCUAAAAACACUCGUUCAAAACCACACAUUCAUUCAUAAAGGAAACGCUUUGUCUUUGACCCGCUGCUCAGUGGUGACUUUGUCUGGAACUGUUUGCUUGGACCAUCAUGUUCCUAAAAUGUAAGCCACUAAAUAUUAAUUUAUUUUUUUAUUGAACUGCUUUAUAAAAUCAAUGUGACAUUUGAUAUUAAAACUCCCUUUAUAAUCAUGUAACUACACACUGUUUACGAGAAUACAAGAGGGCGUAGGCCUAUUCUAUUUUUCUCAUAUUUCUUUAUGGCUUUAAGGUGUCAUAAAAUUGAUAAAACUGCUAUAUUUACAACCCGCGAUGUACACGAUACAGCGGAUUAUAUCGUUAGUAUUAACCAUCAUUGGAUAUGAAUGUUAUCGUUCGAAAUGAACUGGUGACGUAUCUGCUUGUUUUUUUUUUUUUUGUAUUCCAUUAAGCGCGAGCCUUUAUGACGUCACAAUUCGCCCGUUAAAGUAUUUAAGGGCAUGAAACUCACUUGUUCAUUUUAAUAGUUGGUAGCGACUGUUAGCGACUGGUAAACGGUGUUAUCGUGGGUCUGCUUUCAAGACUAAAAAAAAGCGACUGGUUUGGAGAGUGUACGUGAACCCUGUGUAACGUUACAUCCCAAAGACUCCCCCAUCAUGACGGAGAACCGUCAACCGGCGCCUGUUGGUGCUCUUGAGACCGAUGGAGGGAGAAAGCAGAAGAGCUUCUGGAAGUGGGCCGCUCUUCACUUUCCUUCCCGCAGAACGGGAACAUAUGAUCUGGCCAAAGCUGAGGAGAAAUACGGGAUAGAGGCGGAAACACACUGGAGAGAUAGCGAUGCUCCAGCUCCUGAAGGCCUCCCUGCUGCUGAGGAACAGCAGAAACACAAUGUCCUGGACAAGAGCCUGAGUGUACAUGAACUCUGUGUACAAUCCAGAGACACCCCCAUCACAUCUGAGAACCGCCGUCCCAAUCUGUCUGUUGGUGCUCUUGAGACUGAUGGAGGGAGAAAGAAGGCAGGGAAAGAGGAGAAGAAGAAC
ensembl:lncRNA